GUCGGGCGUGGUGGCACACGCCUGUAAUCCCAGCAGCCCAAGAGGCUGAGGUAGAAGGAUCGCUAGUUUAAAACCAGCCUCAGCAAUGAUGAGGUGCUAAGCAACUCAGUGAGACCCUGUCUCUA
rnacentral:sRNA from 1 species